rnacentral:rRNA from 1 species
AUGUUCGGCGUCGUGUUCCCGGACCACACCUUCCCCCUCGACGCCACCGCCUUCGCGCAGGUCGCGCCGGCCUCCUGGCUCCUCGACCUCUCCACGCUCUCCCUCCCCUCCGCGCCCCGCUCCGCCGUCGUCUUCCUGCUCCCGCCCGCCGCGGCCGCGCUGCCCCCGGGCAAGGCCGUCGCGGUCUACUACCAGGCGGCCGCCAACCGCCCCUUCGCCUUCCUAGGCGCGCUCGGCCCCGCGCGCCCCUCCGCCACCUUCCAGCUCCCGGAGGCCGGGGACGAGCCGGAGCCCCCUGCCGGGCCCGCGAAGCUGGGCGUCGCCGUGGAGGACGCCGCCGCGCUGCCCUCGCCCCCCGACGAGCAGCGCGCGGAGCGGGUCGCGCUCCGCGUCGGCGAGAACCUCUUCAAUUUCAUGCAGUCGUUCUGCGCCGCCGACGGCGGCAAGCUGGUAGUGCCCACGGAUAUUCUGGACCGCUGGUUCCGCAAGUUCCAGGAGAGGGCCAAGAAGGAUCCCACCUAUCUGAAAAGCUUUGACUUCUGA